AUGGUGACGCUUGAAGUUAGAAACCCCAGAGUCCAAAUUUAUUUUCAUCAUGUUUUGAAGGACAUAGAAAAGUGCCAGAGAAGCGUGAGUGGCAGCUGCCUGAAGGGUGAAGAAAUUGAAGAGGGAAGAAGUAUUGCCUUGUUUCUCCAGGCACUGACUUUCACAGUGAUAGCCACUGGUAUUCUCCUAAUAAUCUGUACUUCCUUGGUUCCUGAGACAAUCCUGAACAAGAAUGUGGAUGAUUUUUGCAGGACUAUGAUAAAUGGCUGAGUUCCCUCUUCCUGAGUCUGAAAUUAAUGACUGGAAACAUUAUCAACAAGGUAGGUUGUCAAAAGAAUAGUGUAAGUACUUUAUCUAGAAAUGGUGUAUUUUCCCUUAGAUAAACAUGGAGGAUUAUUAUGGGAUAGUAUAGGAGGACAAAUUUAUGUAAUUUUGUACUCAGCCACAGUAUUAGCUAAAAACAACUGAAGGUAAGAAUCAGAUAUAUAAAUAUAAAUAUAUGAUGUAUGUGUGUGUGUGUGUUCUUCCUCAGUGGCUCAGUGGUAAAGAAUCUGCUUGCAGUACAGGAGCUACAGGAGAUGUAGGUUCGAUCCCUGGGUCGAGAAGAUUCCCUGGAGGAGGGCAUGGCUACCCACUCCAGUAUUCUUUCUUGGAGAAUCCUGUGGACAAAGGAGCAUGGCGGGCUACAGUCCAUAGAGUCACAAAGAGUUGGACACGAGUGAAGUGACUUAGCACACACACACUUAUAUAUAUACACACACAUACUGAACUGCAAGGAGAUCAAACCAGACAAUCCUGAAGGAAAUCAAUCCCGAAUAUUAAUUGGAAGAAUGGAUGCUGAAGCUGAAGCUCCAAUGCUUUGGCCACCUGAUGUGAAGAAUUGACUCAUUAAAAAGACCCUGAUGCUGGGAAAGACUGAAGGCAGGAAGAGAAGGGGACAACAGAGGAUGAGAUGGUUGGAUGGCAUCACUCACUCAAUAGACAUGAGUUAGAGCAAGCUCCUAGAGAUGGUGAAGUACAAGGAAGGCUGGUGUGCUGCAGUCCAUGGGGUCACAAAGAGUCGGACAUAACUGAACAACAACAACAAUAUGUAUAAAUCUCUGCCUGAUUCCUGGAUUUGAAGUAUACUAUCUAGGCUCAUUCCCCAGUAAGAAGACUGGCCGGGGCCAUAAGAACUUGUAGUAGGACCAGAAGAUCCCUAAUAUCACACCUGGACUGGUGGAUGAGCCCUCAAAGAUCACCUCUGCCCUUGGGCAAUUUUAUACUUACUUACCUGAUCCUUAAAUUUAUCAGGCAUUUAUUGAACCCCACUAUGUCGUUCUUCUAGAGAUGUGGAGAUCAGUGAAGCAUAAUUACUGCCUUCAACGCUGUUUUGGGAGGGUAGGCAUGGCAAUCAAGCACAUAGGCUAGUUACAUUUUAGAGUGUUAAGGGAACGCUGAAGUCUUGAGGGAGCCUAGCUGACUCCACUCCAUCUAAUUAGAGGGAGGGGAGGAAUUGAGGGAAAUCUUGAAAGAGUUGCGGUUUGUCAAAAGUUUGCAGUUGUAGCUGUGGGACUACAGAAGUUAUUUAAUCUUUGGGCCUGUUUCUUCUUCUAUAAAACAUUGAGAAAUGGGCCCACCUAUCUUUCUGGGUUGUCUAUCUUUCUGGGUUGUCUUGAAGAUUACAUGAAAGCAUGUGUGAGAAGUCUGGAGCUUGUUAAGUAUGGUUAAGUUUUCAUUAUGAUCACUUUUGGCCACUUUCCUUAGGAUUUAAAAACAAAAACCUCUUAACUCCUUCCUGAGGGCAGGGAGGUUCUGAAAUCUCUGUGAAAUGUGACUAGCUUUACCAUUUUUGUCUGAUAAGCUGCAAGAAGUUAAGGUAUAAGUAAUUUCUCAAGUAGGUGAUUCUGCUAAGAGAGUUAAUGGCUUAAAAGUGAAUUGUUGGCUCCAUGCACAUCUAGACUAUAAGGAAAAUAAACUGUUAAUCUAGUGUUAAGCUUUUUGUUCU
ensembl:lncRNA